rnacentral:rRNA from 1 species
AGUGAACGCUGGCGGUAGGCCUAACACAUGCAAGUCGAACGGCAGCACAGUAAGAGCUCGCUCUUACGGGUGGCGAGUGGCGGACGGGUGAGGAAUACAUCGGAAUCUACUUUUUCGUGGGGGAUAACGUAGGGAAACUUACGCUAAUACCGCAUACGACCUACGGGUGAAAGCAGGGGAUCUUCGGACCUUGCGCGAUUGAAUGAGCCGAUGUCGGAUUAGCUAGUUGGCGGGGUAAAGGCCCACCAAGGCGACGAUCCGUAGCUGGUCUGAGAGGAUGAUCAGCCACACUGGAACUGAGACACGGUCCAGACUCCUACGGGAGGCAGCAGUGGGGAAUAUUGGACAAUGGGCGCAAGCCUGAUCCAGCCAUACCGCGUGGGUGAAGAAGGCCUUCGGGUUGUAAAGCCCUUUUGUUGGGAAAGAAAAGCAGCAGGUUAAUACCCCGCUGUUCCGACGGUACCCAAAGAAUAAGCACCGGCUAACUUCGUG